ensembl:lncRNA
CUGCAGAGCCUGACUCCUCACUCUAGGUGUGAACCCUGCCUGGGUGUGAAGGGUCCUCCAGGUGAGCCAGGAGCACCGGGACCCAAAGGCUCCAUGGGAACUCCAGGCUACCCUGGCAGAAAUGGCGCUCCUGGUUACCCAGGACCUCCUGGAAUACAGGGCCCCGCAGGCCUCAAAGGUGACACGGGACCCAGAGGGUUGAAAGGCAGAAAAGGAGAUGGAGACCAGGGACCACCAGGACCACCUGGACAGCAAGGGAUUCAGGGUCCCCGUGGCUUUGAUGGAAUUGGCCAGCCGGGCAACCAGGGAAUCCCAGGCAAACCGGGUCCACCAGGAGAUCCUGGUAAAAGGGGUAGCCCAGGACUUCCAGGGGUUUGUGACAUCUCUAUGUGCUAUCAGACCUACAAUCUCAGGGAACACUACAGCAAAGGACCACACAUCUGAUCACAUGGGAGUGAGAGAGGUUGCUUUUGACUUGGCACCCGCUGCUGACACCUUUAAGACAGAGAUAUCUGCAGCCAAGGCAGCUGUAACCUCAUGAGCUGGUAUAAACAGAAAUAGGGAGGGCAUUGAUUCAUCAUCACUGAAUUCAUGAUCAAAGAGGGUCAAGCAGGCUAGCGUCCAGAUAUUUUAAACUUCUAAAGUUUAAAUAGUGAAUUCUAAAUCCUGAUUGAGUCAGAUGAACACCAAGAGCUGUAACUGAGUCGCAUUGUUUUUGUCAAUGUAAAAGGCAAGAAGGCCAGGAAUCUGAAUAAUAAUAAAUGUGUCUACCUCCUUGUUUACCUGAAUUACUGUUUAAGUUAAUGAUACAGAAGGCAAAUAUGAUUAAUACCCUC